rnacentral:RNase_P_RNA from 1 species
GUCUGUCGGACAAUCGCGGCUGCAAGUGCCGAAAGGCCGCAGGUGAGGAAAGUCCGGGCUUCCAAGGGCAGGAUGCCGGGCAACACCCGGCGGGGGCGACCCCAGGACCAGUGCAACAGAAAUAAACCGCCCGCUUUUGCGGGUAAGGGUGGAAAGGCGAGGCAAGAGCUCACCGCCCGCGUGGCAACAUGCGGGGCAGAUGUAAACUCCAUCCGGAAGCAAGACCGCACAUAAAACGAUACGCUGACCCGGCGUGUUUUAGGGUAGGUCGCUUGAGCCUGCCGGCAACGGCAGGCCUAGAUAGAUGAUUGUCGAAACAUAACCCGGCUUAUAGACAGACUUG